rnacentral:lncRNA from 1 species
AAAACGGUGGUGAAUGCAUUGCUCCCAGCAUAUGCCAUUGUCCUUCCUCCUGGGAAGGAGUGCAGUGUCAAAUACCAAUUUGCAAUCCAAAAUGUCUUUAUGGGGGCAGAUGCAUAUUUCCCAAUGUGUGUUCCUGCCGCACUGAAUACUCGGGAGUCACAUGUGAGAAGAAAAUACAGAUAAGACACCAUUGAGUAGCAUCAAGUAUAUGAAUUACAAGCCUGUAUCUUAAGAAUGGAAAUGUUUUGUUCAGAAAAAGUUGGAGAUAACUUGAAGUUUAUUUGAACAUCAUUCAAAAAAUAUCUUAAAGACUGAAGAAACUAAUAAAAUACAUAAUGAUCUUAGUUGUAAUCAUUAGAGAAAAGGAAAGAAGAAAUCCAGGUAAUCUAAAUUUGAUGUUGAGAUGGGAUAGGAUAUUUACAUAUUGAGAUGAUGUAUCUGAUAUUCCAUCCAUUCACAAUAUUUAAUAAACUGAGUAUUUUCU